rnacentral:rRNA from 1 species
CGGGCGGGGCCCUUAUGCAUGCAGUCGACGAGAACGGCGGCUUCGGUCGCUAAGUAAAGUGGCAGACGGCUGAGUAACACGUAAGUAACCAACCCCGGAGCGGGGGAUAAUCAUGAGAAAUCGUGCCUAAUACCCCGUACGUCCCAACGGUCAUUGCCGUUGGGGGAAAGGCUUCGGUCGCUCCGGGACGGGCUUGCGGCCUAUCAGGUAGUUGGCAGGGUAAUGGCCUACCAAGCCGGAGACGGGUACCCGGUGUGAGAGCACGAACGGGCAGAGGGGGACUGCGACACGGCCCCCACUCCUACGGGAGGCAGCAGCAGGGAAUCUUGCGCAAUGGGCGAAAGCCUGACGCAGCGACACCGCGUGGGGGAAGAAGGCUUUCGGGUUGUAAACCCCUUUUCUUGGGGAAGAGGAAGGACGGUACUCGAGGAAUAAGGAUCGGCUAACUACGUGCCAGCAGCCGCGGUAAUACGUAGGAUCCGAGCGUUGUCCGGAUUUACUGGGCGUAAAGGGUGCGUAGGCGGCUCGUUAAGUCUCAUGUGAAAUCUCCCGGCUCAACUGGGAGGGGUCAUGGGAUACUGGCAGGCUUGAGGGCAGUAGAGGAAAGCGGAAUUCCCGGAGUAGCGGUGAAAUGCGUAGAGACCGGGAGGAACACCAGAGGCGAAGGCGGCUUUCUGGGCUGCACCUGACGCUGAUGCGCGAAAGCGUGGGGAGCGAACCGGAUUAGAUACCCGGGUAGUCCACGCCCUAAACGAUGGAUACUAGACAUAGGGGGUAUCGACCCCUCCUGUGUCGCAGCUAACGCGUUAAGUAUCCCGCCUGGGGAGUACGGCCGCAAGGCUAAAACUCAAAGGAAUUGACGGGGGCCCGCACAAGCAGCGGAGCGUGUUGUUCAAUUCGAUGAUAAGCGUAGAACCUUACCAGGGCUUGACAUGUUUCCGACAGUCCCCGAAAGGGGGCCUUCCUUCGGGACGGAUUCACAGAUGUUGCAUGGUCGUCGUCAGCUCGUGUCGUGAGAUGUUGGGUUAAGUCCCGCAACGAGCGCAACCCUUGUCGUUAGUUACCUUUUCUAGCGAGACUGCAUGUAACAAACAUGAGGAAGGUGGGGAUGACGUCAGAUCAGCACGACUCUUACGUCCUGGGCUACAAACACGCUACAAUGGCCGGAACAAAGGGUUGCCAAGGCGCGAGCCGGAGCCAAUCCCACAAAUUCGGCCCCAGUUGGAAUUGCAGGCUGAAACUCGCCUGCAUGAACGUGGAGCUGCUAGUAACCGCAGGUCAGCACACUGCGGUGAAUACGUUCCCGGGCCUUGUACACACCGCCCGUCACGUCAUGGAAGUCGGUAACACUUGAAGUCGCUGGGCUAACCCUAUGGGGAGUAGGCGCCGAGGGUGGGA